UUCCUCAUGCAUCCACCAGAGAACCUUUCAAGUUCAAGCACUCCAACCAGUACAGACUUCCAAGUUCCAGUUAUAGAUCUUGAGGGGUUCCAUGAGAAUCUCCAUCGGGUGCAGAUUGUUAAGGAGAUUCGUGAAGCAUCGGAAACAUGGGGGUUCUUUCAAAUGGUUAAUCAUGGAGUUCCAAACACUGUUAUAGACAAUUUGUUACAAGCAAUAAAAGAAUUUCAUGAGCAGCCAAAGGAGGUGAAGAUGGAGUGGUACUCACGCGACUCUACGAAAAGGGUAAGAUACUACUGCAAUGGAGAUCUGCUGGUGGCAAAAAGAGCAAACUGGAGGGAUUCAAUUGUUUUCGAUUUCCAGGAUGGACCUUUGGAACCUGAGGCAUUUCCCUUGGUUUGCAGGUACACUUUGUUAGUAACCUUUUUAUUCAUAUCAACAGUCUAGUAACAUAACACGGAAUACUAACUUGAGAUUUAAGUCGAGUCACAGACAGGCAGUGCAAGAAUACAUGGAACACUUGAUCAACCUAAGAGAUGCGCUAUCAAGUUUGUUGUCAGAGGCCUUGGGGAUCAGCAGUGACUACCUAGCUAGCAUAGAGUGCAUGAAGGGUGAAAAUCUGGUGUGCCAUUAUUACCCGGUAUGUCCAGAACCAGACCUCACCAUAGGGACAACCAAGCAUUCAGAUCCUUCAUCUUUAACUAUACUCUUACAAGACAACA
rnacentral:lncRNA from 1 species